CCAAUGCAACCUCCGUCCGUGCAUGGCUCGCGCAGUCGUGCUCUGAUUUCGUCUCGUCCUCCCGCCGUCCCCUUGCCUUCGCACACGCCAAAACUUUAGCUGCACAUAUGCUCUCCUCACUCCUCUUCUGCUCGUCUGGGAGUCCCAAAUCCGGGUGGGGAAGAAAGAACACUUCGCUGGUGUGAGAGCUUGAAGCUGCCAGCAUGAUCUGGCUGCUCAAACGCCGCCGGCCUCCCAAGUGCUCGAUCGGUGGCGCUUCACCAGAUCAUGUUGCAGCUUCACUCUCUCGCAACCAGCGAAGGGCGGCAAAGCACCGUGGAGGCUCCGGACAAUGAAUUCCUUCGCCGGAGGCACUCGCAUUGACGUCGCUCAUCGACGACUAGAAGAAGCUUGGUGACUGCCAGUUCAACCUCUAGAAGCAGUACUACGUGGCCGUAUGCGCCGCUAUGUACGACAAGCUCCGGCGCAGCCGCCGCUUUGACGCGGUCCAAAGCGGCUGUACCGCGCUGUCCAUCGUCAAGGAGGGGGACCUCAUGGUCGUCGAUGACUCUCGGGUUGUUCUAGGGACCGCAUACGACGCCGCCGCCAUCACGCCGUCCAGCUCAUCGUCCACCUGAAGCCCAACCUGCCACGUAAGUCGCCACUGAUCGGCCAUGAAUUCUUGUGCGCUGGGACGACGGCCGUUGCUGACGUUGUGUGAGUGUCCUCGAACAUGAUGUAUGUAGAGCAGUAGCGUAUCCGAUGGUGCAACGGCCAGGGGUACUACCUCGCUGAUGAGCCCAGGUGCACUUCGUUUGGCAGUCCAGCCAAGAGUCAUCGGUACUCACCAUGUCGCGCGUGUUUGACGACUACUAUAUUGAGGAUUGUAGCGUCAUAUUGACGCCGAGAUGACGCCGAGGAGGACCGACAACAAUGACCAGUUCGUCAUCCUCACCACCGUCGGGGUAGCUUUUGUGACGGUCUGCCUUUAAUUCUCUUCGCAAACA